rnacentral:rRNA from 1 species
GACGAACGCUGGCGGCGUGCUUAACACAUGCAAGUCGAACGGAAAGGCCCUGCUUUUGUGGGGUGCUCGAGUGGCGAACGGGUGAGUAACACGUGAGUAACCUGCCCUUGACUUUGGGAUAACUUCAGGAAACUGGGGCUAAUACCGGAUAGGAGCUCCUGCUGCAUGGUGGGGGUUGGAAAGUUUCGGCGGUUGGGGAUGGACUCGCGGCUUAUCAGCUUGUUGGUGGGGUAGUGGCUUACCAAGGCUUUGACGGGUAGCCGGCCUGAGAGGGUGACCGGCCACAUUGGGACUGAGAUACGGCCCAGACUCCUACGGGAGGCAGCAGUGGGGAAUAUUGCACAAUGGGCGGAAGCCUGAUGCAGCAACGCCGCGUGCGGGAUGACGGCCUUCGGGUUGUAAACCGCUUUCGCCUGUGACGAAGCGGGAGUGACGGUAAUUGGUAAAGAAGCACCGGCUAACUACGUG